GUCCUCACUUUGGCAGCACAUAUACUGAAAUUGGAACAAUACAGAGAAGAUUAGCACGGUCCUUGCGCAAGGAUGCAUGGGGGGGGGGGGGGGAGAAUGAGAUCAAU